ACACAUUUUCCUAACAAAUACUUUGCAUUUUGCAGAUUCUUCAGCAGGACCAGUGGCUUGUGUGGGAGCCAGAGCACUCGAGACAGAGCAGGAUGACGGAGCUGUGGGCCUGGGCACUAUCCAGAGUGUUCCACAGGUCCCCAGUCUGCAUUGCAUCCCACAGGGCCCCCAACAGCCCUGCCGUGCCCGUCAGGGUGACCCAGAGGUCCCAGGACCAAGAGCCAAAUACCAGAGAGGCAUCGCACAAUGGAAGUGCGCAGAAUGUCAACUUGUAUAACCCAGCUGGAGGUUUGCAGACAAAUAGAGAGGCAUGGUCCAAGGAACAGGAAGUGGAGAAAGGCAUUAAAAAUUUAACCUACAUUGAAAGACUGAAGGAGCGUGUCAAGAAAGGUCAGUCUCUGUGUGUGGGAUGGAAGAGACAAAGCUCCUGGAUUUCUCAC
rnacentral:lncRNA from 1 species